AGCAGCCGCGGUAAUUCCAGUUCCAAUAGCGUAUAUUAAAGUUGUUGCAGUUAAAAAGCUCGUAGUUGAAUUUUGGAUUCUUCCAAUUGGUCCAUCUUUUAGAUGAGUACUGGUUGUGUGGGGUCUAUCCGCCUGGUGAUACGUAAUGUCCUUUAUUGGAUGUUGCGGGUAGUCAGGACCUUUACCUUGAAAAAAUUAGAGUGUUUAAAGCAGGCUUAUGCCGGAAUACAUUAGCAUGGAAUAAUAGAAUAGGACGAAGUUGUUUUAUUUUGUUGGUUUCUAGGACAACCGUAAUGAUUAAUAGGGAUAGUUGGGGGCAUUAGUAUUCAAUUGUCAGAGGUGAAAUUCUUGGAUUUAUUGAAGACUAACUACUGCGAAAGCAUUUGCCAAGGAUGUUUUCAUUAAUCAAGAACGAAAGUUAGGGGAUCGAAGACGAUCAGAUACCGUCGUAGUCUUAACCAUAAACUAUGCCGACCAGGGAUCGGGCGAUGUUGUUUCCAUGACUCGCUCGGCACCUUAU
rnacentral:rRNA from 1 species